rnacentral:tRNA from 1 species
CGGGGUGUAGCGCAGCCUGGUAGCGCAUCUGGUUUGGGACCAGAGGGUCAGAGGUUCAAAUCCUCUCACCCCGACCA